rnacentral:rRNA from 1 species
UACGGAGGGUGCGAGCGUUGUCCGGAAUCAUUGGGCGUAAAGGGCGCGUAGGUGGCGCGGUCAGUUCGUGGUGAAAGCGCGGGGCUCAACCCCGCGUCGGCCAUGAAUACUGCUGGGCUGGAGCACUGUAGAGGCAGGCGGAAUUCCGGGUGUAGCGGUGGAAUGCGUAGAGAUCCGGAAGAACACCGGUGGCGAAGGCGGCCUGCUGGGCAGUUGCUGACACUGAGGCGCGACAGCGUGGGGAGCGAACAGG